AACGAACGCUGGCGGCAUGCCUAACACAUGCAAGUCGAACGAGACCUUCGGGUCUUGUGGCGCACGGGUGCGUAACGCGUGGGAACCUGCCCUUAGGUUCGGAAUAACUCCCCGAAAGGGGUGCUAAUACCGGAUAAUGUCUUCGGACCAAAGAUUUAUCGCCUUUGGUUGGGCCCGCGUUGGAUUCGCUAGUUGGUAGGGUAAAAGCCUACCAAGGCGACGAUCCAUAGCUGGUCUGAGAGGAUGAUCAGCCACACUGGGACUGAGACACGGCCCAGACUCCUACGGGAGGCAGCAGUGGGGAAUAUUGGACAAGGGGCGAAAGCCUGAUCCAGCAAUGCCGCGUGAGUGAUGAAGGCCUUAGGGUUGUAAAGCUCUUUUAACCGGGAUGAUAAUGACAGUACCGGGAGAAUAAGCACCGGCUAACUCCGUG
rnacentral:rRNA from 1 species